rnacentral:rRNA from 1 species
GACGGAGGGGGCAAGCGUUGCUCGGAAUUACUGGGCGUAAAGGGCGCGUAGGCGGGAUGGCAAGUCGGUCGUGAAAUCCUUCGGCUCAACCGAAGAACGUCGAUCGAUACUGCUGUUCUUGAGGGUUGCAGAGGAGACUGGAAUUCCCGGUGUAGCGGUGAAAUGUGUAGAGAUCGGGAGGAACACCGGUGGCGAAGGCAGGUCUCUGGGCCACUACUGACGCUGAGAAGCGAAAGCAUGGGGAGCGAACAGG